UACGUAGGUGGCAAGCGUUGUCCGGAUUUACUGGGCGUAAAGGGAGCGUAGGCGGAUACUUAAGUGGGAUGUGAAAUACCUGGGCUUAACUUGGGUGCUGCAUUCCAAACUGGGUGUCUAGAGUGUUGGAGAGGAAAGUGGAAUUCCUAGUGUAGCGGUGAAAUGCGUAGAGAUUGGGAAGAACACCAGUGGCGAAGGCGACUUUCUGACAAUAACUGACGCUGAGGCUCGAAAGCGUGGGGAGCAAACAGGAUUAGAUACCCUGGUAGUCCACGCCGUAAACGAUGGGUACUAGGUGUAGGGGGUAUCGACUCCCCCUGUGCCGCCGUUAACACGAUAAGUACCCCGCCUGGGGAGUACGGUCGCAAGAUUAAA
rnacentral:rRNA from 1 species